CUCCCCUGUCACCAGUGAUUCUUUUUCGCUGACAUUCUGAAAAAAGUAUUGUGUAGUCCCUGUGACAAGAAAUAUAUAUAGAAAAAUAAUGAAAAAUAUAAACAGUUUCAAUAGAAAUGAGCGACAAAACAAGAUAAACAGAAUACAACAAGGCCUAAAUGGUCAAAUAUCUUGGUUUUUAUGAUCAUCGUCAGGUCCUGCAAGUCUAUACUGAAGAGGAAACUUAUUUAUUAAUACUUUUCUACAUAAUGUGCUAAUUGGAUUAAUUAAUGUGAAAUGAACUCAAUUGUGUGUUUUUCUGGAAAAAGAAAUAGAAAAAAUUCUACAAAAUUGCUAUAAACAAAAUGGAGUACUAUCAAAGAUGCACAAGAACACAAUGGUGUAAAAUGUAACAACCUACAUAUUCACUGAUGGAUUAUGGAGAAAUUAAGAAAAAAAAUAGUAUCUUUGUCAUGUUUGUUGUUGAAAUAAACACAUGCGUUAUCCAAUCAUGUACAUAAUAUUAUGUACAUGGCUCUCCAUCAUAUCAAAUAUACAGAGAAGAUGUUUGAAGAACAAGUUGCCAAAAUUUAUUCAACCAAUUGAAGGAAGAUGUCUUGUGGAUGGAAUUAUUUAUGCACUGAACUGUUAUGUAGGGGUUAGAAUAAUUAUACACAGCAGCUGAAACAGAAGACAAGUUAAUUUGACAUGAAAAGUGUUUAUUUUAUUUAAUAUGCAAAUAUAAGCACAAUAUUAAUAACAUCACAAAUAGUAUGAUAUUCAGUGUUUUGCUUAUUAUUGUAUUGUCUUAAACAUGUUAAACAGUCAGCUUUUUGUUUUUGUAUGUUUAAUACUCACCAUGAAAAAUUGUAUUAAAGUUUAUAUUAAUAUCUUUUGUAUCAAUAAUUCAGUCUAGGAGAAAAUAUAUUUAUACUGUUUGUACUGUUAUGAAAUUUCCAUAGAGGAAAAACAUUUCCUUAAGGGAAAUUUGAUGUUCAGAAUUUUCCUUAGAAGAAAUUUGAAGAACAAUGAUUUCCUUAGAGGAAAUUUCCUCAAAGGAAAAUUUGAAGCGGCAAAUUUCCUCAAAAGAAAAAGAAUUUCCUCAAAGGAAAUAAUUAUGCAGCAAAUUCCCUAAGGGAAAUCUUUUUCCCUUGAGGAAAACUCUUUUUCCUCUAAGGAAAUUGUUGAAAAAAGGGGCAUAACUUUUUCAACAGUGGUGCUAGAGCCAAACAUUUUUAGAACAAAUAUCAGAGAACCAAUACUUAUCAAGUUAUCAACUUUAUUUUGACUUAACUCCAGAAAUUAAGGUGACAACUUUUGCACUCAGCGGAAUUGCAAACUUGUCCCAGAUACUGUUAAUAUUCUUAUACAAGACCUGUUUAUUGUCUCUUGCUUAUGAUCUUAGAUAUAUAUUAUAAAUGCUGUAUGUUUAUGCUUAUGACCUUAGAUAUAUUAUUGCUGUAUGUUGAUUGUCACUUGCUUAUGACCUUAGAUAUAUCAUUGCUGCAUGUUAAUGCUUAUGACCUUAGAUACAUUAUUGCUGUAUGUUAAUGCUUAUGACCUUAGAUACAUUAUUGUUGUAUGUUGAUUGUCACUUGCUUAUGACCUUAGAUAUAUUAUUGCUGCAUGUUUAUGCUUAUGACCUUAGAUAUACUAUUGCUGUCUGUUGAUUGUCUUUUGCUUAUGACCUUAGAUAUACAAUGUAUAAUAUUGCUGCAUGUUUAUGCUUAUGACCUUAGAUAUACUAUUGCUGCAUGUUUAUUGUCACUUGCUUAUGACCUUAGAUAUACUAUUCAUGUUAUUUGUGCAGGUUUAUUGACAUUUGCUUAAGUUAUUUUAUUGCUGUUAGUUUAAUUUUCUGUUUUUGUUUCAUACAUUUUUACUUGAUGGUGUUAUCUCAGUGAAAGAUGAAAUAUUAAAACACAUGUGCCUUAUUUGUUA